rnacentral:lncRNA from 1 species
UGGGCUGUCCGUUUCCAUAACUAACAAAAAGAAUUAAUUCAAUUCAUUAAAAAAUAUGUCUACUUUUUUCUCUUCAAUCGCCGUGAUUUCUAAUUUAGAAUAGAAUAUUUUUAAUUUAGAAUAGAGUGGUGUGUGGGGUAGAAAGUCCAGGAAUUUUCAUAUCAGGAUUUCUGUUAUGGUAUAUUCUACUUGGCUUGGCAGAUUCUCCUCAUUAAGAUCUUCUAUUUUUAUUCAGAUCUUUC